rnacentral:lncRNA from 1 species
AUCUAUAACAAAAAGUUGCUACCGUUUUGACUCUCUCCGGUUUCCGGUGCUCCUCAUCGGAGCCGUGAGAGAGUCCGUCUCUACGCUUUACUUGUUUUUCUCCUUUGUUUUCGGCCAGUAGCAACCCCUCAGACGGAUAUGUCUUGCGUUGGUGUUCUUAUGAUUCAGAUUGGUUCUUCUCCGUUUGUCGGACAGAUCCUACAUGUGCGCCGGUCUCUUUCGGUUCAGAUUAGAUCUUCGCGUCAUCAUCUGGUUUCAGUGGUGGCUGGAGGUUCCUGUAAUCGAUUGGUGUUAGGCGGAUCUUUGGAUUCGUCUUCGGCUGAAUCGAUGUUGCCUUCUUUCUGGUAAUAUCGUCCUUCGUCUCUUCUAUCUUUGGGGUUGUUGUGUUUGGUCCGUUUUGGUUGUUGGUGGGGUUUUAAUCUUAGGCUUAGGCUCGCUCUUUACUGGUUUGGAUAGUUUAGACUCUUAGGACGAUUUGCUCAUGCGGAGGUUUGUGUGUUCCGGUCUUCGGUCUAGGCUGUCUCGCUUCCUUGUUGUUGUUAGCCCGAAGCAUUAGUUAGCCCGAAGCAUUAGUUAGCCCGGUUGACUUGUUUUUGCGGAUUGUGUCUUGGAUUUUGCUGGUGGUUUGUCUCUGCUUUGCCUUUCCAUGGUGUCUCUGGGCUGAGUUUUCAUUCGGUUUCCUCAUCUUACAAUUCGCGGAUAGUUCAGUUCACCCACUUGUUUGGGUUUCCUCCGGUUUUGUUAGAAGGUUGGUUUAGUCGUCUUCGUUUCACGGUUCAGCAGGAUCCUCUCAGUUUAGUUAGUCGUGUGAUCUUGGACUGAAAGAGUUGAGCAAGUGCGUUCUUCUUCCUUCGUCAAAUUCUCUGUCAGGUUUCUCGAUUUGAUUUCUGUAUCUCGCCAUGUUCGUCGUUCUCAUGUUUGGGCUUAAUUGAGACUAAGCUUUUAGCGGUUCCAAUUCCGUAUCUAUUUCCGUAGAUUGUAAUUUCUCUCGUUUGGGCUUAAGUUUCCCUCGUUUGGGCUUUGUUAUGUUUGUCCGCCUCUUUUGACCUUAAGUUUCUGGGGGUUUCUAUGUACCCGCCGGCUUUAUCUCCGAAAGAAUUUCGUUCUUUGUCGGCUUUGUAAAACUCAAUCGCAUUUUAUCAAUGAAAUCCUUUAGACGAAAAAAAAAAAAUAACAAAAAAUUUAGCAGAUACUUUAACAGGACCGACAAACCUCAAGUCUCGUAAUUUUCCUACUUUGGUAUGUCGGUGACGAUGAGACGAGAGAUAUUUGUUUGGGUCACUAAAUGGACGAUACUAACCUUGUAAAAACUGUUCUUUUUUUUUUUUCUCUUUAUAGUUCAAUAUCGUUGGGUUUGCUUGUAUUUUCGAUAGAUUGUGAACCAUGCAUGAGAUCCCUACGUUUUCACAGCUUUGAAAAGUUAUAAUUUUUGUUUUUUUUUUAAUGAAAAAAUUAAAUCUAAAAAAAGUUAUAAUUUUGGAAUAGAUGUAGUAAUUAAGAAUGAUUAUCCAGAAGCAUUGUAUCGCAAAGGACCAUUAGAUACUUUCAUCAAGAUAGUCAUGACUUGUGAACAAUAAGAUAGAGGACUCAAAAAUUUGACCAAAACUGCAAAAAUUAAGAAGCCCGAUAUAUUUAUAGGUUGACGACAAGGAUUAUUUGUGGCACAAGCCAUUCAAAACAUUGUUAUAAAUUAGUGUUUUCUAUUGCUACUCGUAAUAUUAUACCGGUCAUGAAAUAACUCAAAAGAAACUGAAAGUAGUCUCUUUUCCUCUUGUUUCAAAUAGCUGUGAACCAACUGUGACAUACAAAAAAGCACAAAAACAGAUUUUUGAAACAUCAUGAGAACAUAAAUUUUUGUUUUAUAUAUCUAUCUUUACAGGUUAAUUAUUUGUGAUAUUAUUUAUGCAUGCCUUUAUCAAAUAGGCGAGCUCAUUAUACCCAAAGCUAAACAUGAGAAAGUUGGCUCCGAAAAAUGAAGAGAUAAACAAAAAUACAAAAGCAAAAGUAACAACUACGAGAAAGCAAAACCUUUCACUAGUUUUAUUAACUUUUAAGUCCAAAUUAAUCUUAAUCAAGAGUUUAUUAGCUUCAACAAAAAACAUUCAACCCAAAGAAAAGGAGAGAAACUAUGGGGCUUUGUCAUGGAGUUUCUUCAUUGAUAGUUCCUAAUGAUCUUUGCAACCGAAGAAUAUGUCCCCAAGGUUCCGCUUACCAACCCGAUGGCCACAAUUGUGGAACUCAGAAUCAUCUGUAUUACACAACUCAGUGUUAACCUUAAGAAUCCAAAUACAGAAACUCAUCAUCCCCUAAUAACUUCAAGAAACUGAUAACAGGACACCAAAAAGGCUCAAUUUAUAUACCUGUGUUCUAGUAGCUUUGUUCCCCAUUAUUUUUAUGAAGCAUAGAGCUGGCAUUACUAUUGCCUGAACCAUACAAACAUUCAUGUAAAAGACUUUUGAGUUUUUGAGUGUCGCAUUUGGUAACAAUAAUGUUCUUAGGAUAUUAAAGAGGAUGAUGGAAACUAACCACGAGUAUACUGAGAAGAGAUCCUAUAAGAGCCAUCAUAAGACCUGUGUGGAAAACAAACCAAUUGCAAAAGAAGACCAUUAAGGAGUAGUAAAAAGACAAGCGAGUGAGUUCCCAACCUUUCUAGCUUAAUGUUCUUACCAAAAAAUGGGAUAAGGAAAGCAGAACAAACAGAGGAAGCGACGAGUGCUGUUCUUAGAAGAAGAAAGCACCAUAUGUUCUCUGACAUUCUGUCAGGUAAUAGUUCUUCUAUACUCCUUGCAAGUGGAUUCAUCAGGAGAGCGUAUUUUGUAAACGGAUUCACAACCUGAAAAAAAGGAUAAAACAGAACCAAGAUGGAGUUUUAGUGUAAAAUGGAACUUCCAAAGAUUAUGGAGAAAAAAAAACAAAAAACAGGUUAUGUUUUCUAACCGUUGUCCACUGUGCCACUUUUGAGAAAAAUUGGUUCUGUGGCAUGUUUAGUGUAAUCUGAGACAAGGUAGCUUCACCAAACAUGAGAUAACCCAUGAUUGCAACUCCUCCGUAUAACAAAACGCAUAAAAUGAAACUGCAAUGUAGACAAAACAAAAAUUGUUGGUUUUAGAGUUGGAAUGAAAACAUCAAAAGCUAAUAUAAGAGUGAGGUUUUCGGUUUUACCAUGUGAUCACUGCUUUGUUGAAUUUGGUUUUAUCAGCCAUGGAUUGGUAUAUAUUUGGGAACACUGAAUGUCCUGAAUAGCAAAACCCGUAUAUACCAAUUGCAAAUGGUAUACCGUUCCAUUUCACAGCCUGCCCGGUGUGAUGAAACCCAAUCCCACCCGUUGUGCCGAGGAAAAACACGCUUACUGCUAUCAAACCGGUUGCAAUAACUCCACCGGCUAUGAAAUGAAAGAAAAACAAGUG